AUCGCAAGAUCUAUCAUCUCCAGCUAGAACAUCCCUCUCCAAGAUCAGAUCAUCAGAGCAAGGCAGAGAGCUCUUCCACCGUCAGACAACCAUGGCCUGGAGACUCGCCAAGAUUUUUCUCCUCUUCGUGUUAUGCAGUACCAAUGCACCAUCCAUGUACAAGCAGGUGGAAGCGUGGCGGCGGAUUUGGUGCCGGUUUGGGAGCCGUCGUCGGAAGGGCGAGCGUGGCGGCCGGCGGAGCCUGCGAUUAGCGGAACGUUCAGGAACUGCGGCAAGUGCACAUGCUGCAACCGCUUGAACCCGCGGGGCUGCGUAGAAAUAGAUUGCUGUAAGGAGAUUGUGUGCGGGGAUCAAGGCUGCAUGCCUCCUAAGGUGCUCUACUGCGGCUGCGACCUCAAAACUUGUGUGGUCCAUUGAUGGGGACUUGGGGGGUGUAUGAACAGAGGAAUAAAUCGCGGGCAGUUGUAUUAGAAUUGAGGAUCAUUGUUUGGUAUUUUUUCCAUGGGAUUGAUUGAUGAUCCUUUUUCGGAAACCCACUUUGGCUCCCGAAA